rnacentral:tRNA from 1 species
GUUUCUAUAGUUGAACACAGCAGUAGUUUUUCAGACUACAGGUCUAGGUUAGAAUCCUUGUAGGAACU